CUCUGUCAGCUCAGUCGGUAGAGCGUUAGAUUUUUAACCUCAGGGUCGUGGGUUAGAGCCCCCCAGUCGGGUG